UCCUGUUUUUACAGGAAGGAUCAGUGGCAGAACAUCUGCUCUGCAUGCAGAAUGUCCCAGGUUCAAACCCUGUUGCAGGAA